GCCGCCGCCGUCGCCGCGCUUCCGGUGAGGAGCCGCCGCCGCCGCACAUCUGGUGAGGAGCCGCCGCGGCCCCGCUUCCGGUGACGACCCGGCGCCGCAGACGCCGCGCUUCCGGUUUUCCAAUGGAGCCAGAGGCCAGGAAGGAGAUGGGCCUUAUGCACAUCCUCACCGGUAGGAGAAGCACAAAUGUUGGAACCGGGCCAAACACCUGCAGCUUGCUACAGUGAGAGACCCCGCUUAGUGAUAGCCUUAGAAACCAGAGGAACUUCAGCGGGGGGCUGGAUUGCAGGCACUGUCGCUGAAGGGGAAAAGGGUUCUUGGAGCCAUUUUUCAAGACCAGGUGGUGAAUACCCGACAGUACUUGGAACAUGUGAAAGACUCCACAACAGGAAUGCAAGGUAGAGUGGUGAAGCUAUUCACCAACCAUUUCCGAGUGACCUCUCGCCCUCAACUCCUCACGUAUAAGUACAACAUUGAUUACAUGCCAGAGGUUGAAGAUGGAAAAGUUCGUACAGAUUUGCUCUGCCAGCAUAAACAUGUAAUUGGAGAGUGUCCCACAUUAGAUGGGAACUCUUUAUUACUGCCUCAUAAACUACAAAAGCAGGAAUUUUGAAGAUGAUGGAUUUGAAGCAAGUUGGUCGCAACUAUUACAACGAGAAUGAGGCCACGGAGUUCCUCAAUCACCAGACAUUUUAAGCUGAAGAGCGUGGAUGUAAAGCUGCUUGGCCAGCAUCAUCUUAGGAGUCCUCGACUUUAUUCUUGCUUCCCAAUUUCAAAAUUUACGACAAAGCUCUCGGAAUCAGGACA